UGCAGUCGACGCGCAUUUAUGUGAGUGGCGGACGGCUGAGUAACACGUUGGUACCUACCCCGAACUCGGGAAUAAGCACUGGAAACGGUGUCUAAUGCCCGAUAGUCUCCUUGGAGUAAAGAUUUAUCGGUUCGGGAGGGGCCUGCGCGAGAUUAGCUUGUUGGUGAGGUAAUGGCUCACCAAGGCUUCGAUCUCUAGGUGGUCUGAGAGGAUGAUCAUCCAGACUGGGACUGAGACACGGCCCAGACUCCUACGGGAGGCAGCAGUGAGGAAUCUUGCACAAUGGGGGAAACCCUGAUGCAGCAACGCCGCGUGGAGGAAGACGGCCCUAGGGUUGUAAACUCCUUUUAUUUGGGACGAACAUUGACGGUACCAAAUGAAUAAGAGGUGGCUAACUAUGUGCCNGCAGCCGCGGUAAUACNUAGACCUCGAGCGUUAUNCGGAUUUACUGGGCGUAAAGCGUGCGUAGGC
rnacentral:rRNA from 1 species